AUGCUUCUGGCAGCCUCGGAAGCCUUGGCGGGACAAGUUUCAGAGGAAAACUAUGCCAACGGGCUGAUUUACCCACCUUUCUCUAACAUCAGAAAAAUUUCAGCAAAUAUUGCUGCGAAUGUAGCCGCUAAGGCAUAUGAACUCGGGGUGGCUACACGUCUCCCUCGUCCCGUGAACCUUGUGAAGUAUGCUGAGAGUUGCA
rnacentral:misc_RNA from 1 species